rnacentral:rRNA from 1 species
AUUCCUACGGGAGGCAGCAGUGGGGAAUAUUGGGCAAUGGGCGCAAGCCUGACCCAGCAACGCCGCGUGAAGGAAGAAGGCUUUCGGGUUGUAAACUUCUUUUCUGAGGGACGAAGGAAGUGACGGUACCUCAGGAAUAAGCCACGGCUAACUACGUGCCAGCAGCCGCGGUAAUACGUAGGUGGCAAGCGUUAUCCGGAUUUAUUGGGUGUAAAGGGCGUGUAGGCGGGAAUGCAAGUCAGAUGUGAAAACUAUGGGCUCAACCCAUAGCCUGCAUUUGAAACUGUAUUUCU